GGCGGACGGGUGAGUAAAGUAUCGGAACGUGCCCAGUCGUGGGGGAUAACGUAGCGAAAGUUACGCUAAUACCGCAUACGAUCUAUGGAUGAAAGCGGGGGAUCGCAAGACCUCGCGCGAUUGGAGCGGCCGAUAUCAGAUUAGGUAGUUGGUGGGGUAAAGGCUCACCAAGCCGACGAUCUGUAGCUGGUCUGAGAGGACGACCAGCCACACUGGGACUGAGACACGGCCCAGACUCCUACGGGAGGCAGCAGUGGGGAAUUUUGGACAAUGGGCGCAAGCCUGAUCCAGCCAUGCCGCGUGCAGGAUGAAGGCCUUCGGGUUGUAAACUGCUUUUGUACGGAACGAAAAGGUUUGGCCUAAUACGCUGAACUCAUGACGGUACCGUAAGAAUAAGCACCGGCUAACUACGUGCCAGCAGCCGCGGUAAU
rnacentral:rRNA from 1 species